CAGACAGUUGGUGUUGUUACACCACACAAGGUGGUUGGGUAGAAUUAAAAUGACACGUCUGGGGUUCCUUGUCUUUUUGGCAGCGUUCUCAGGUGCCAGCUCCCAGAUCCAGCUGACCCAGUCUGGGGCACAAAUCAAGAAGCCUGGAGAGUCUGUGAAGCUGACGUGUAAAACCGCCGGCUACACUUUUACCAGCUACGACAUUGAGUGGUUACGGCAGGUGCCCGGGAAAGGACUGCAGUGGAUAGGACUUAGCAAUCCCAACAAUGGAGGCACCCACUAUGCCCAGGCCUUCCAGGGGCGAUUCACCAUCACCAGGGACACCUCCAUAAGCACGGCCUAUCUUCAGCUGGGCAGCCUGAGAACCAAUGACACAGCCACGUAUUACUGUGCUAGGGACACAGUGACACAAACCACAUCUACAGCAACUCAAAAACCCCCACUGAUCCGUGCUUUGCUGCCGGUGCGCCGCGUUUUCCUGGUGGAUCCUCCUUUUGCUCUCCCUCCACGUCUGAGCCUUUUGAUUCUCAUCCUGACUGGGACAAGAACCACGCUGGCUCUCCCAAGAAACCUGCGCAGGCGCAUUGCCCACGUUCUGAAUGAGACUUUUGAGGAGAUCACUAAGGCUGAUUACUGCGACGUGAGAGAGCACAUCAAUGCCUUAUUCCGCAUCUAG